rnacentral:rRNA from 1 species
AGUGGACGCUGGCGGUAGGCCUAACACAUGCAAGUCGAACGGCAGCACAGUAAGAGCUUGCUCUUACGGGUGACGAGUGGCGGACGGGUGAGGAAUACAUCGGAAUCUACUUUUUCGUGGGGGAUAACGUAGGGAAACUUACGCUAAUACCGCAUACGACCUACGGGUGAAAGCAGGGGAUCUUCGGACCUUGCGCGAUUGAAUGAGCCGAUGUCGGAUUAGCUAGUUGGCGGGGUAAAGGCCCACCAAGGCGACGAUCCGUAGCUGGUCUGAGAGGAUGAUCAGCCACACUGGAACUGAGACACGGUCCAGACUCCUACGGGAGGCAGCAGUGGGGAAUAUUGGACAAUGGGCGCAAGCCUGAUCCAGCCAUACCGCGUGGGUGAAGAAGGCCUUCGGGUUGUAAAGCCCUUUUGUUGGGAAAGAAAAGCAGCAGGUUAAUACCCCGCUGUUCUGACGGUACCCAAAGAAUAAGCACCGGCUAACUUCGUG